GAAAAGUGUUAUAAAAGCAACUUUAUAGCUAUUUUUCUUAAAAGGGUUUUUCUUAUAGAAAAGAGGUGAAACCUAUUCUCUCUUUUUCAACAAGGAGGCCGGCCACUUAGAGGAGAUUUAUCUAGCAAUCUUUUCUUCUCUAAGUCAUCCAUUUUCAUCUUCAUACCUCACCCUUGGUGUGGAGACUUAGAGACACCAAACCUUUGGUGUUUUG
rnacentral:lncRNA from 1 species